AAAAAAAUGCUCAACUUUUCUUCACAUCCGAGAGGGCACUCUCAGCAGAGUCUCUUGAAAUACUCAGCUUCUUUUCCCCCCGAUAAUACCUUUGCAAACAAGCCACACCAGAGCAAGAGUAUCUUAUAUCAUUAGGGUUAAAAGCAAAAGUAUCCCAUAUCAUGCUUUUUCCCUAUCUUUUCCUUUGGCCUUGUUCUUACUUGCAAGACAAGGAGAAAUAGAGCAAUCAAUCAGCACUUGGAAUUAAGCUUCCAGUUAGGAACUGACUACCUGGAAUCCCUUGCCUGAUUACUUACCUGGCAUUGCUCUCGAGUAUUCAUCUUCAACAUCUUAUGCUUCUAGAGGAGAUACCACAUUUGCCUGAAGAAGAGAUAGGGCAAGUGAGAAGGAUACAAGGAAGCAUGUGGAGACAAGUGUAACAGAACACAUGCCAAUACAUCCACUACUUUGUCAACAGCAAAAGUAUCCCAUAUCAUCAAGGUCAAACGUACUCUAGAUUUAAUGGACUUGUUUUGACCCUCAAAUUCUUGAGUCGACCUUAUACUCUAGAGGAAACCAGAAAACCC
rnacentral:lncRNA from 1 species